UUUAAACCCUAAAUAUGAUGUAAAUCUCAUAUUA
rnacentral:tRNA from 1 species